rnacentral:rRNA from 1 species
UACAGAGGUCCCAAGCGUUGUUCGGAUUCACUGGGCGUAAAGGGUGCGUAGGUGGUGAGGUAAGUCGGAUGUGAAAUCUCCGAGCUCACCUCGGAAAUGGCAUUGGAAACUGCCUUGCUAGAGGAUCGGAGGGGGGACUGGAAUACUUGGUGUAGCAGUGAAAUGCGUAGAUAUCAAGUGGAACACCAGUGGCGAAGGCGAGUCCCUGGACGAUACCUGACACUGAGGCACGAAAGCUAGGGGAGCAAACAGG